AAGUCGUAACAAGGUUUCCGUAGGUGAACCUGCGGAAGGAUCAUUACUGAGUUAGGGUCUUCCAGGCCCGAUCUCCAACCCUUUGUGUAACUACCAUGUUGCUUUGGCGGGCCCGUUUUUCACCGGACCGCCGGGGGUCUUCGACCUCUGGCCAGCGCCCGUCAGUAGCCCUUAACAAACUCUUUUAACCAUGUUAAAUCUGAAAAUAGUUAAAUAAACUAAAACUUUCAACAACGGAUCUCUUGGUUCUG
rnacentral:misc_RNA from 1 species